rnacentral:lncRNA from 1 species
GAAACUUUCGUACAACUAGCUGAAAGAAGAGAAACAUCCUAUUUCAUGUCACUGGAGCCCUAAUGAUCGCAGCCAUUUCAGGAAAUGCCAUCAAUUACAGUGAGGAGCUCAUUCAGAAGUGAAAGAUGAGUUCCAUUCUCUGUUACUUAGAGGUAUUACAAAGCUCAAAUCUGAGAAAACCUUGUCUACCAUCAACCCUGACCUACAGAGGAGAGGCACCCCCAAGCUUAUUAGUGAUCCUGUCUCCGUCUUAUUGGCACAUCCUGAUGGCCUUGAUCUCUAGUUCUUCCUGUGGAGCAUAACCAUAUGGUUCUUUGCCAAGAUGUUAAGACCAAAGUCGGAGAGUGAACCCCAUGUCAAUGAAUUCUUGUUUUUCUGAUCUUACAUUCCAUCACUUUGAUCCAGUACUCUCAAAAUGCAAUCACAGUUGUACAUGUCUUCUCCUGUCAAUAAACGCUACCUUAGUACUGCA